GACGAACCGUGCGAACGUUGUUCGGAAUCACUGGGCUUAAAGGGCGCGUAGGCGGGUUACCAAGUCAGAGGUGAAAUCCUGCGGCUCAACCGUAGAAGAGCCCCUGAUACUGGUCGUCUUGAGGGAGGUAGGGGCAUGUGGAACUUCCGGUGGAGCGGUGAAAUGCGUAGAUAUCGGAAGGAACGCCGGUGGCGAAAGCGACGUGCUGGACCUCUUCUGACGCUGAGGCGCGAAAGCUAGGGGAGCAAACGGG
rnacentral:rRNA from 1 species